rnacentral:rRNA from 1 species
GUGGGGAAUCUUCCACAAUGGACGAAAGUCUGAUGGAGCAACGCCGCGUGAGUGAAGAAGGGUUUCGGCUCGUAAAGCUCUGUUGUCGGGGACGAAUGUGCAGUAUUUGAAUAAAGUACUGUAAUGAUGGUACCUGACGAGGAAGCCACGGCUAACUACGUGCCAGCAGCCGCGGUAAUACGUAGGUGGCAAGCGUUGUCCGGAAUUAUUGGGCGUAAAGGGAGCGCAGGCGGGAAGGUAAGUCGGUCUUAAAAGUGCGGGGCUCAACCCCGUGAUGGGAUCGAAACUAUCUUUCUUGAGUGCAGGAGAGGAAAGUGGAAUUCCUAGUGUAGCGGUGAAAUGCGUAGAUAUUAGGAGGAACACCAGUGGCGAAGGCGACUUUCUGGACUGUAACUGACGCUGAGGCUCGAAAGCCAGGGGAGCGAACGGGAUUAGAAACCCUAGUAGUCC